rfam:Picea glauca, whole genome shotgun sequence.
GGGUGUAUAGAUUAGUUGGUGGAGCAUCGGGAUUUUAACCUAAUGGUCGCAGGUUCGACUCCUACUAUACCCA